UCAAACAAAUUAUUUAUGUUAUUAUAAAAAAAAUAUUUUUUAGUUUAAUUAUUUAUUUAGAAAAAAUUAUUUUUAUUAUAAUUAAUUAGUAUAGUGAUAGAAAUUUUAAAAAUAUUGAAAUUUUAUACUUUUCAAAGAAAAAUUUGUUUUUUGUACCUUGUGUAUCAGGGCUUAUUAAUUAAUAAUUAAUAAUUUAAUUUUCUCGAUUUUAAAAGAGCUAAAAAAUUAUAAAUUUUAUUGUAGAAUAAAUAUUUAAAAUAAUUUUUUUGUAAUGAAACGUUAUUCGUUUUUAAAUAUAUCUAGUUUUUAAAGAAAAGAAUUCAAUUCUAUUUAUUGGGUUAUAAAUUUUAAUAAUAAAUUUUAUUAAACCAAUAAAAAAUACUUUUGGGGAUAAGCUUAAAAGUAGAAUUUUAUAAAUUAUUCAUUUAUAUGAAAAAAUGUAGGAUUAGAAAUUUCCAUCAAUAAUAAUUUGUUGUAAUUAAUUUUUAUAUGAAUUUGAUUUUUAUUAAUUUUAGAUUUUUUAUUUAAAUAAUUUAUUUAAUUUAAAAAUAAAUGAAAUAAUGAUAAAAUUAGUAUAAUUAGGUUUAAAAAUAUAUUUUGAUAUUUAGGUUAAUUUAAGGAACUCGGCAAAUACUUUUUUCGCCUGUUUAUUAAAAACAUGUCUUUUUGAUUUUAAUUUAAAGUCUGACCUGCCCACUGAUUUUUAAAUGGCCGCGGUACUUUGACCGUGCGAAGGUAGCAUAAUAAUUAGUUUUUUAAUUGAAAGCUGGAAUGAAUGGUCGAACGAGAAAAAUACUGUCUCAAGUUAAUUUUAAUUAGAAUUUUAUCUUUAAGUAAAAAAGCUUAAAUAAUUUUAAAAGACGAGAAGACCCUAUAGAGUUUUAUAAAUUUUAUUAUUUGAGGUAUUUAGAAUUUUAUAGCUUAAAAUAGUAACAUUUAUUUUGUUGGGGUGACAGAGAAAUUUAUUAAACUUUUUUUACUAUAAAAACAUUGAUUUAUGAAUUAUUGAUCCAUUAGUUAUGAUUAUAAGAUUAAAUUACCUUAGGGAUAACAGCGUAAUUUUUUUUGAGAGUUCUAAUCGAAAAAGAAGUUUGCGACCUCGAUGUUGGAUUAAAAUUAAGUUUUGGUGUAGCAGCUAAAAUUUUAGGUCUGUUCGACCUUUAAUAUUUUACAUGAUCUGAGUUUAAACCGGCGUGAGCCAGGUUGGUUUCUAUCUUUAAAAAAUUAAAAUAUUUUAGUACGAAAGGACCAAAUAUUUAUAAAAUUUAUUUAAUAAUGAAUAUUACUAAUA
rnacentral:rRNA from 1 species